GACACCACUCGCCCCUCUUCUCUUUGACGCGUCCUAGACUCGAGACAUGAGAUGCUGGCAAUGGCGGACUCUGCGUGUUCCGGAGCGCCGGCUCCGAGUGCACCGAACCUCGUGAACGAGAUGCCCAGCCUGGACAACCACAAGCGGGGUUACUGACGACGAGUGCUGUUAACCCUAGUGACGACCCGUAGUGGAGAAUCGCUCUCCGAUACGAGUCGCCGCUAGGGCAGGACCCGACGCGUAACCCGGUCAACUCCACCUCGGACGGUAGUGUUGGACAUGCUGACAGUCUGGCGCUGGCAUCACUCUGAUACCAGAGAGAGUUCCGGUUGCCGCGUGUUGCUGCCGUUUAGGUGCGGUUACGUAGGGCGCGAACUUCCCAACUUUCGU
rnacentral:misc_RNA from 1 species